UUCCAGGGGCUAAUAAAAAAAUAUACUAUAGUAAUGAAUGAGGAGCACAACCAACUAAAAUAAAUAUUUUAGUUGGUUGUGCUCCUCAUUCAUUCAUUACUAUAGUAUGUUGUCUCAGGAU